rnacentral:snRNA from 1 species
GAGUGUGAGGGAGAUCUGGCUGUGAAAUCUGUCACCCCACUGAUCUCUAGGGUUGGCUUGGCUUAUCUGGCUUCUUAGGCGAGCGUUCCCUUCCUCCCUCACUGCUCCAUGCGCUUCCCCCUCCCAAAGCUGCUCACUCAGUUGAAGAGGAUGAACAUCCCCACUAGAGAAGGACCGUUCUUCUGUAUAGGGUUUAUGAGUAGCUACACCCUCCUGCUGGAACCUCCCAACAAGCCCUCUCAAGAAAUCCAACUGCUCCAAGAGUACCAUGCUGGAGAGGUCAUGGGAAAGGCUCAGGUCCACUGUUCCAGCUGAGCCCAGCCUUCUC